ACGAACGCUGGCGGCGUGCUUCACCCAUGCAAGUCGAACGGAAAGGCCCUGCUUUUGUGGGGUGCUCGAGUGGCGAACGGGUGAGUAACACGUUAGUAACCUGCCCUUGACUUUGGGAUAACUUCAGGAAACUGGGGCUAAUACCGGAUAGGAGCUCCUGCUGCAUGGUGGGGGUUGGAAAGUUUCGGCGGUUGGGGAUGGACUCGCGGCUUAUCAGCUUGUUGGUGGGGUAGUGGCUUACCAAGGCUUUGACGGGUAGCCGGCCUGAGAGGGUGACCGGCCACAUUGGGACUGAGAUACGGCCCAGACUCCUACGGGAGGCAGCAGUGGGGAAUAUUGCACAAUGGGCGGAAGCCUGAUGCAGCAACGCCGCGUGCGGGAUGACGGCCUUCGGGUUGUAAACCGCUUUCGCCUGUGACGAAGCGUGAGUGACGGUAAUGGGUAAAGAAGCACCGGCUAACUACGUG
rnacentral:rRNA from 1 species